rnacentral:rRNA from 1 species
GACGAACGCUGGCGGCGUGCCUAAUACAUGCAAGUAGGACGCAGUUGCGAACGGGUGAGUAACGCGUAGGUAACUCUCUCUUAGAGGGGGAUAACUAUUGGAAACGCUAGCUAAUACCGCAUACUAGUUGAUGGACCUGCUUUGUAUUAGCUAGUAGGUAGGGUAAUGGACUACCUAGGCAACGAUACAUAGCCGACCUGGAAGGGGGGUCGGCCCAACUUGGACUGGGACACGGCCCAGACUCCUACGGGAGGCAGCAGUAGGGAAUCUUCGGCAAUGGGGGGAACCCUGACCGAGCAACGCCGCGUGAGUGAAGAAGGUUUUCGGAUCGUAAAGCUCUGUUGUUAAGGAAGCGGUACUUAACCAGAAAGGGACGGCUAACUACGUGCCAGCCGCCGCGGUAAUUC